rnacentral:rRNA from 1 species
GACGAACGCUGACGGUGUGCUUUAGACAUGCAAGUCGAACGAGAAAGCCCUUCGGGGUGAGUAGAGUGGCGAACGGGUGAGUAACACGUGGGUAACCUGCCCCUCGCAGAGGGAUAACCGGGGGAAACCCCGGCUAAUACCUCGUACGCUUGCCGGGUCGCAUGGCUCGGCAAGGAAAGGUAGCUUCGGCCAUCCGGCGAGGGAUGGGCCCGCGGUCCAUUGGCCAGUUGGUGGGGUAACGGCCCACCAAGGCGACGAUGGAUAGCUGGUCUGAGAGGAUGAUCAGCCACACUGGGACUGAGACACGGCCCAGACUCCUACGGGAGGCAGCAGUCGGGAAUCUUGCGCAAUGGGCGAAAGCCUGACGCAGCAACACCGUGUGGGCGACGAAGGCCUUCGGGUCGUAAAGCCCUGUUGUUGGGGACGAAGGACGAAGGGUUAAUAGCCCCUAGUCUGACGGUACCCUUCGAGGAAGCCCCGGCUAACUACGUGCCAGCCGCCGCAGUAAGAC